rnacentral:rRNA from 1 species
AUUGAACGCUGGCGGCAGGCCUAACACAUGCAAGUCGAGCGGGAACUUCGGUUCUAGCGGCGGACGGGUGAGUAAUGCGUAGGAAGCUACCCGACAGAGGGGGAUACCAGUUGGAAACGACUGUUAAUACCGCAUAAUGUCUACGGACCAAAGUGUGGGACCUUCGGGCCACAUGCUGUCGGAUGCGCCUACGUGGGAUUAGCUAGUUGGUGAGGUAAUGGCUCACCAAGGCGACGAUCCCUAGCUGGUUUGAGAGGAUGAUCAGCCACACUGGGACUGAGACACGGUCCAGACUCCCACGGGAGGCAGCAGUGGGGAAUAUUGGACAAUGGGCGAAAGCCUGAUCCAGCCAUGCCGCGUGUGUGAAGAAGGCCUUCGGGUUGUAAAGCACUUUCAGUAGGGAGGAAGAGUUGAGUGUUAAUAGUACUCAGCUUUGACGUUACCUACAGAAGAAGCACCGGCUAACUCUGUGCCAGCAGCCGCGGUAACAC